rnacentral:misc_RNA from 1 species
AAGUCGUAACAAGGUUUCCGUAGGUGAACCUGCGGAAGGAUCAUUAAAGAUUUUGUUUUUUGGGGUUUUCCCUGAAAAAUAAUUCACCUUUUGUGCAUUGUUAUUAGAUAUACUUUGGUUAGAGCUUUGAUUUCAUUUAAUGGAAUCAACUUCUUGCUGACUCUAUCCUAUUUAAAGGACAGUUGGCUAUGAAGCGGCCUACCAAGGUUUUUUAUCAAACUCUUGUAUUUUGUCUGACCUAAAUAUCAAUAAUUAAAUCAUAACUUUCAACAACGGAUCUCUUGGCUCUC